rnacentral:rRNA from 1 species
UACGAAGGGGGCUAGCGUUGUUCGGAAUUACUGGGCGUAAAGGGCGCGUAGGCGGUCCUGAUCGUCGGAUGUGAAAGGCCUGGGCUCAACCUGGGGAGGGUCACGCGAUACUGAUCGACUGGAAGGCAGGAGAGGGUAGUGGAAUUCCCGGUGUAGUGGUGAAAUGCGUAGAUAUCGGGAGGAACACCAGUGGCGAAGGCGACUACCUGGCCUGUUCUUGACGCUGAGGCGCGAAAGCUAGGGGAGCAAACGGG